AUCCUGUAUUGUUCCCAUGUUUAUCCUGUAUUGUUUCCAUGUUUAUCCUGUAUUGUUUCCAUGUUUAUCCUGUAUUGUUCCCAUGUUUAUCCUGUAUUGUUUCCAUGUUUAUCCUGUAUUGUUCCCAUGUUUAUCCUGUAUUGUUUCCAUGUUUAUCCUGUAUUGUUUCCAUGUUUAUCCUGUAUUGUUUCCAUGUUUAUCCUGUAUUGUUUCCAUGUUUAUCCUGUAUUGUUCCCAUGUUUAUCCUGUAUUGUUUCCAUGUUUAUCCUGUAUUGUUUCCAUGUUUAUCCUGUAUUGUUCCCAUGUUUAUCCUGUAUUGUUCCCAUGUUUAUCCUGUAUUGUUUCCAUGUUUAUCCUGUAUUGUUCCCAUGUUUAUCCUGUAUUGUUCCCAUGUUUAUCCUGUAUUGUUCUCAUGUUUAUCCUGUAUUGUUUCCAUGUUUAUCCUGUAUUGUUUCCAUGUUUAUCCUGUAUUGUUCCCAUGUUUAUCCAGUAUUGUUCCCAUGUUUAUCCUGUAUUGUUCCCAUGUUUAUCCUGUAUUGUUCCCAUGUUUAUCCUGUAUUGUUUCCAUGUUUAUCCUGUAUUGUUCCCAUGUUUAUCCUGUAUUGUUCCCAUGUUUAUCCUGUAUUGUUCUCAUGUUUAUCCUGUAUUGUUUCCAUGUUUAUCCUGUAUUGUUUCCAUGUUUAUCCUGUAUUGUUUCCAUGUUUAUCCUGUAU